ACUCAUGAACACUAUAAAUGAAUGUUGAUUGUAUUCAUAUUACACUAAGUUUUGAUUGAGCAUGAAAACCAACUCUUUUAUCUUUGUAUUCUUUAUUAGUGUAUUUAUUAUUAUCUCUCUUAUGGCACUUGAGCAACCUAAAGAUGAGAAACAAUUUGAUGCAACAACUGAAUUUAAAACAAAAGUUGGGAUGGAUAUAUGGAAUCCUAGAAAAGGGUGGGGAAGACCUGGAACUAAAAGACCUGGAAAGAAAUCAAGGGAAUCGAGCUCUAAAGAAAAUAGUGGUGAAGGAGGUGAACAAAAUGGAGGUGAAAAAGACAAAGGAAUGGAACCUGGUGAAAGAUAAAAAUGAUAUAACUUUCAUCGACACUCUUCAUUAAAUUAUAUCCUUUAUAUCAUUUUGUUGAACUUCUUGCUUUAAUUUCAAUUACUAAUGUCAUGUUAUAUAACUCAAUCAUGACAAAAUUAUUAGAAAUGUUAAUGAGAAUCUUCGAACUACUUUUUGAAAGAGAAAUGAAAAUAUAUUCAAAAUACAAUACAAGAAUUUCAAUAACUUAUUACAUAACAAAUCAAAAAAUGAAACAAAAGCUAACAUUAUUGAUAGAAAAAAAUAAACAUAAACAAAAAAACUAUGAUUACAACAAAAAUAAUGGAGAAAAUUAUAAAGAGAAAAUAAAGACUAAAACAACAUAUGCAGAGUUGAUAUUUCCGUAACUCUUCCGAUAUGAUACUCGAGUUUAAAGUUGAUGGCGGUUGACGCUUCACGCGUGGUUUGAUGGCGGCGUCAAAUAGAAUUUUGUGAGUAUAUAUAAAUAUAUAAAGAUAAAUUAUUAAUCAAAUUUUAAAAAUAUCUUUUAAUCUAAACCAUUUAAUAUAAAUUCAAUAGUCUAUUAUAAAUAUAAAUAUAUAAAAACUAAAGUACUUGAUAAUUACAUUAUAAGCCCUCUGAUUAUAAGACUAAAUCUAAUCUAAUUACAUGGAUAAAACUAUCUAAUUGCACAAUACUUGAUUUAUAUUAGUUUGACAUUUAAUACGGCUGUUGUGGCAUAACCAGAAUUAUUAUUGUAUUUUAUUUUUUUUAAUUCUAUUAUUAAGUUAACUAAUCAUUCCCUGUAUUUAUAAAAUACAUGAAUUAGAUGUAAUAGAGAAAGAUACGUUGAAACAUUUUGUUUGGAAUGUGAAGUGCAAUCAAUUGAAAAGUUGCACGGGUACAAUGGAAUAUUAUUAAAAGCCUGCUUUGAAUGAACCAAAAGAGCAACUUUCCAUAUUGUGUCAUCAAGUGCUGCCUUUUCAUUUUCUAUUUUCAGUCUUAAACAUUUAAAGUCAAAGAUGCCAAAAGAAAAUGCCACAACUUCUCUUCUUCCAUUUCAAUCUUCAAGUUGGAAACCAUCUCAUGGUAAAAUAUAUUGUUUGACACUGUUGUACGAUCCUUCGUUCCCUCUAUGAUUCCAGAACAUAAAUCCAUCGGUUUUUGUCGCCGGUACCAGUGUAUCACAGACUGUGUAAUGGAAGAACUUAAGAAGUUGGCCCAAAAAUAUCGUUAGCUCUGAGCUUGGAUAUUGCAAAAGUAAUUGACGGAGGGAGCAGGAAGAAUGUAGGCGAUUUAUUAAAGUUUUAAAUCCAACAACCAAUAUAAACCCAAAACCCCUCCGUACAUCUUCUUCUUCUUCCUCGCUCACGUACUCUCUGCUUCCUCGCUCUCACUCCCUCCGCCGUGGUCUCAGCCCCUCCUCCAUCCCUCCGUCGUCGUCUCAACUAGCCGCCGUCGUCGUCUUCUUGCUGCUUCUAUCAGAAUCAAAGUCUUGUGGGAUUUUAGGGUUUUUCUUGGUCAAAAUCAAAGUCCAGUUCUGCUUCUGUUCAGGGGAUAUUAAAGAUUUUUUAAAAGAAUAUCACUAGAGACAUCAGAUUAGCUUACGGUGUGUGGUUCCAGAAGUUUCUGAAUUUCUCUAAAGUUACUUUGAAGUCUCUGGUUUCUACUUGUACAACGCCGAUUCAAACCUACCCAUCUCCCACAUAAAGUCUAACUCAGGUUACUAUCCCUUUCUUCUUGCUUAUAGUUUGUUAUUUUCUGCUUAUAGUUUAUUGUUUAUGGUUCUAUUUAAUAUCAAUUUAGUAUCUCUCAACCAGUUUUUUGGUUUGUGGACUUAUAUUACCUUGAAAUAAGGUAAUGUCUUCUUUAAGAAAUCGGGUAUUCUGAUUAGGUAUUCUGAUUAGGUAUUCUAUUAUGAUGAUAGCUAUUUAUUAUCUUGACAUAAUUCCUUAGUACCUUAUAGAGAAACCAAGAAGCAUUUGUUUAGCUUAAUUAAGACAUGGAUAAGACAUGGAUGAAUUCAAACCGAUUGUCGAAAGAGUACGAGAAAGGGGUAUGGGAAUUCGUUAAGUUUGCGGUUGCGCACUCCGAAGACCCGCUUCGAAUGCCGUGUCCUUGCUUGGGUUGCUGUUAUGGGGGUAAGGUUGACGGGAAUAAGUUGGCAUCCCAUUUACUACGGUUUGGAAUUGAUAGAAGUUAUACAUGUUGGACAAUGCAUGGUGAGAAAAGUAACGGGAAUGCUGAGUUAAGUUGUAAUAGGAAGUAUGCUUCAAACGACGAUUGCACAGACACAUACGAGUGCGAUCGAGUCGAAGAGAUUGCAGAAGCGCUUGAAGAAGAUCUUGCGGAUUGUCCCAAAAUGUUUGAGAGGUUGGUAAGCGAUGCAGAGAAACCGUUGUAUGAGGGUUGUACAAAAUUCACAAGAUUGUCUGCGGUGUUAAAGUUGUACAAUGAUAACACGAUUUUAUAUCGUAUAUUUAGCCUAAAAUCCAUAGAUAUUUAUAGCAUUUUCCGUUUAUUAUGUUAAUUUAUUAUGAUAUUACGCGUGUAUUUGCUUUAUUUCAGGUUUUACACUUCAAUUUCGACUAUUUGCGAAAAGGAAAGAAAAUUGAGCUUAAAUGACCAAUAUUUAUGCCUAAAAGAUGAAAAGGGAGUGCUAAAGUGAAAGAAGGGUGCAAUUAGGACCCAAAAGGCCCAAAAGAGAUAUUCAGCCCACCAUGAAUCAAAAGGCGCGUGGCCCAGACCUGCAAGCAAGUGGAGACGCACGUCUCCACGUUCUCUUCAGCCACGUCACCAAGAGGAGACGCCCGUCUCCAACUGCCCAAGAUUUUCUCCACUUGAGACGCACGUCUCAAGUCUUCCUGAAGAAACGGAGACCCACGUCUCCACGCCCAGUCUGCAGAAAGUUCCUCUUUUCACGCAAAGCAACUGCAUACCUCCUCCUAUAAAUAGGACCUGUCACUUCACUUCAAUCGGUCCGAUUUCCUGCCAACGAAGUGCUGCCGAAAUUGUACCGCGAACUGCUUUUCCUUAUUCUGCUUUCAUUUAACCGUCUAUUUUCUCACAACGAUUUCUACACUGGAAAUUGUUGUGAACUUUUCAUAGAUCUAGCCUUACGUUAGGUUUAUCGCUUUAUUUUCCUUGUUUUUAUUUUCUGCCAUUUAAAUUCCGAAGAACGAUCCAGCCAACCUGUGGUGGAAGUUCGAGUACUUCAAGAUUCAAUUCAAUCCAGAUUUAUUUUAAUUCAGGUUUUUUUAUUUACCGCCUUAUUUAUAUUAUUUAUUUGCAUGAUAUAUUAUAUGCCAUUUAAUAUGCUUAUUAUUAUGAACCGAACCGAUUUAUGCAUGUUUAAUCGUAUUAAUAUGUCUGGCUAAAAUACUAAAGGUGUCGGUAUGUAAAGUAAGUUAACCGUAGGGGUCCGAAAUAAAUUGGCUUAAAUUAUGUUUUAUUAAUUAUCACUUAUUUUUGGUUUAUAUGUCUAGUUUGAUUAGUAAGUCUUAAAACCAAUAGAGCGAAAGUUUGAGGGAUUAGGACGGUCAAAGGUUAAAAUCAAUAGAGCGAAAGUUUGAGAUCUUUAACUGGAUAGUAGACAUAGGACAUUAGUUUUAAGGAUGGCGAAAGCGUAUUAAAACUAAUUGGAACUUAUUUAUUUUCA